GCCGUGCGGAAGUACAGAAGGGAUACCAGUGAAGUGAGCUGCUGCCUAAAAUACGUCAUCUUUGGAUUUAACGUCAUGUUUUGGGAUAAAUAUUUCAUAACGAGUUUCUUCGUAAAAUAUCGAUUUAUCGAUUGAAUUAUCGAAUCUCGAUCCUUGCAUCUUACGUACUUUCUGAUUGGUCAAUAUUUUAUACGAGAUUUUAUCGAAAGAAAAUUGAAUUUUUCUUUACGAAGUAAAGUAUGUAAUAAUAGCAGUAUAGUUUAUCUAUAUAUAUAUAUAUAUAGUUAUUUUGUAACGGUUAAUAAAGCAAAUGCGAGUAACUUGUUUCGUCCUGUUUCUUGUUGAACCUUGUCGUUUAAAAUCGCGUUACCAUGAAGAAAGAGAGAGGAAGAGAAAGAAUUGUCAGUCUUAUUCAAUCCCCACCAACACAUCAUUGCGUUCACCAGCUUACAAUGUAAUAUAGUAAGUAAGUACUAUGCAAGAAGUUUCUAUUCCUUUGUUCGCCCUUCUCUUUACUGUAUCCUAACUCUUCUAACCUUCCAACGUAAUCCUUCUUUCCUUCUUCCUUCCCUUUUCCCCAACCUUUGUAAUAUCCCCGAAAAUCAUUGAAUUUCCAUUCUCGAAUUUCCCCUGUUCAUCAAGCAUAUUUAAUUUACCGCCACACAAUUCGAUAUUCUCGAAUUAUAUCUUCCGAAA
rnacentral:lncRNA from 1 species